UUUGAUGUAGUUUUUUUAUUUUGUAUAUUGCAUAUUUAAUUAUUUUAAUAUUAUGAUAGAUGUUUAAUGUAAAUUUAUAUUUCUUAUUUUGUAUUUUUUAUAUACAUUUUAAAUAGAUAUUUAAUUUAGUUUUUCCAUUUUUAUAUUUUUUAUUUAAUUAUUAUUAUUUUUUUAUUUUAUAUAUACAUAUUCUAAUUUUCUUGCUUUAUAUCAAAUUAUAAUAACAUGAUAGAUGUUUAAUGAAAUAUUUAUAUUUUUUUAUUAUAUAUUUAUUUAGUAUUGUUUUUUUCUUAUAUUAUUAACUAACUUAUUUUAAUAUUACUUUAGAUGCUUAAUGUAAUAUUUAUUUUCAUGUUUAAUUAAUAUUUAUUUUACUAUAGACUUUUCAGCUCGAUGUGUAAUAUAGUUUUUUUUUCAUUUCUUAAAUUGUUUAUUUUUUCUUGCUCUUAUAUUGAUUUUCAAAUGUUAAUUAUCUCGUUAUUCUUAUAUUGUAUAUUUAUUUAUUCAAAUUUUUUUACUUUUAUAUCAAAUGAUUAUAUUAUAAUAAUUUUUAAUGUAAUAUUUACUUAUUAUUAUUAUACAUUUUGCAGAUAGAUUUUUAGUGUACUUUUUCUAUUUUUUAUAUUAUAUUUGUUUUUUCAAUAUUGUAUAUUUACUAAUUUUAAUAUUGAUGUUUAAUGUAAUAUUUAUAUUUCUUAUAUUGUAUAUUUUUACUGCUUAUUUUUUCUUAUAUUGUGUAUUUAUGUAUUCUAAUUUUUUUUGUUUUUAUAUUGAAUGAUAAUAUUAAGAUAGAUUUAAUGUAAUAUUUAUAUUUCUUAUCUUGAAUAUUUACUUAUUAUAUAUUUUUAUUUUUCUGAUAUCGAAUGAUAAUAUUACGAUAGAAGUUUUAUGUAAUAUUUCUGUUUCUGAAAUUAUAUAUUAACUUAUUCUUUUAUUGUAUAUUUAUUAUCUAUUUUUAAUACCACAUGGCUUAUUUUGAAAAAUAGAUUUUUAUAUUUAUGUGGAUGGUCUAUGAAAAACAGUUAGUUUUUAAUAUGAAAAAUAGAUAAUUAAUUAUGAAAUCAUAAAUUCUUAUAAAUUUAAUAAUUUCAUAAAAAAACUAUUUUGACUAAUGUAGUAUUUACAUUGUUUAUAUUGUAUAUUACUUUUUAAUGCAGUAUUUUCAUUUUUUAAAUUUUGUAAUUAAUUAUUAUUACUUUUUGUAUAUUAUAUAUUUACAUAUUUAAAUUCAUAUUUACAUGUGUUUAAUUUUUACAUUUUCAUAUAGAUGUCUAAUGGAGUAUUUCCAUUUUUUAUUAUUUACAUUUUAAGAUAGAUGUUUAAUGAUUAACGUACUUUUUCAUUUUUUAUAUUGUGUAUUUACUUAUCAAUUUUAUUUUCGUAUAUUAUAUAUUUCCUUAAUAUCUAUAUUUUACAUUUUAAGAUAAAUGUUUAAUGCCACGUGUCAUCUUUUAGAAGAAGUUUUUUCGGCUGAUGUGGACGCCUUAUGGAGCCUCAAAAGCUCCCUUUUAUUAAUAUUUCUAUUUACUUAUAUUGCAUAUUUACUUAUUAUUAUUAUUUUUUAUUUUAAAUACACAAUUAAAUGCCACAUGUCAUCUUUUAGAAGAAGUUUUUUUUCGGCUGAUGUAGACGCCCUAUGGAGCCUCUAUUUUAUUAGUAUAGAUUUUUCAGAUAGAUAUUUAAUUUAGUUUUUUCAUUUUUAAUUAUAUAUUUACGUAUUCUAAUUUUCUUGCUUUUAUAUCAGAUGAUAAAUUAUGAUAGAUGUUUAAUGUAAUAUUUCUAUUUCUUAUAUUGUAUAUUUACUUUUUAUUUAUUUUCAUUAUAUCGUUUAUUUACUUAUUAUUGUUUAAUAUAAUAUUUCUAUUUCUUAUAUUGUAUAUUUACUUAUUAUUUAUUUUUCUUUAAAUGUAUAUUUAUUAGUAUAGAUUUGUUAAUGCCACGUGUCAUCUUUUAGAAGAAGUUUUUUCCGUUGAUGUGGACGCCCUAUGGAGCCUCAAAAGCUCCCUUUUAUUAGUUUCUAAUUUUCUUGCUUUUAUAUCAAAUGAUAAAUUAUGAUAGAUGUUUAAUGUAAUAUUUCUAUUUCUUAUAUUUUAUAUUUACGUUUUAUUUAUUUUUAUUAUAUUGUAUAUUUACUUAUUAUUGUUUAAUGUAAUAUUUCUAUUUACUUAUAUUAUAUAUUUACUUUUUUUUCAUACACAAUUAAAUGUCACGUGUCAUCUUUUAGAAGAAGUUUUUUUCCGCUGAUGUGGACGCCCUAUGAAGCCUCAAAAGCUCAAUUUUAUUAUCGCACAUUCUUGGGUUCACCCCCUAGGUGAACAUGUAGGUUCACCAACCAAUAAGAUUGUGUCAUUUUAGAUUCAGUAUCUUUUAAAAAAAGGAAACAAAAUAUUAUCAAAUUAUAUUAUAUUUUUAAAAUAAAAAUUGUAUUAAUCACAAGAAGAAGAUUUUUUAAUCGCAAAAAAAAAGAAUUUGUUUUUCAAAAGUAUUUUUAACGCUGCCAACAAUUAUUAAACCCUAAACCCUAAACCUUUAGGUAAACCCUAAACUCUUGAAUAAAUCAUAAAUCUUAAAGUUUAAGAUUUGAUCCAAGAGUUUUGGAUUUAUCCAAGGGUUUAGGAUUUACCCAAGGGUGUAGGGUUUACCCAAGGGUUUAGGGUUUAGAACUAGGAUUUAGGGUUUAGUGUUUUGUUGAUUGUGUUAAAAAUAUUUUUUUUUUAAUUCAAGAAUUUAAAAUUUAUGAAAGCGUUUAGGGUUUACCAAAGGGUUUAGGGUUUAGAUUUAGAGUUUAGUGUUUUGUUUAUUGAUUAAUUUUUUUUUGAAAAUUUUUUUUUUGCAACUACUAUUAUUUUUAUUUAUUUAUACUUUUUUUUUAAUUUUAAAAGCGUAAUAUAAUUUGACAAUAUUUUGUUUCUUUUUUUAAAAGAUAUCGGAUUUGAAAUAAUUAAAUCUUAUUGGUUGGUGAACCUAUAGGUUCACCCUAGGGGGUGAACCCAAGAAUAACUCUUUUAUUAUUAUAGAUUCUAAGAAACCUCUUAAUGAUGACACAUAGCUACGGAAAUAUGUUGUAAUGCUCCAUAAUAAAUACUAGGUUAAGAUUCGCGCCUUGUGCGGGAUAAACAUUAUAUAUAUAAAUUAUUUCAUAUUUUAUAUGUUUCUAACAUAUUAGAAAAUAAUAAAUAUAUAUUGAAUAAUUAAAAAUUCAGUAACUAUUACUUAUAUAAUUAAAUUGGUGCAAACAUAUAAAUAAAUUUUAUUAAUCCAAAAAUAUUUUUUCUAUUUGAUAUGGUAUAUAAUUAAAUUUAAUGAUAG
rnacentral:lncRNA from 1 species